AAAUCACUUGAGUUUUGGGAAGCAAUAAGAAUUCUUGAGAGCAUUCACUCAAAUUUCUCUCCCUCUUGCGUUCUUACUCUCUGUGUGUUAAGAGCUCGAAGGUCGGAUUUGGUUGGAGACACAUCACACUAUCAACCUCAGGAUUUCGGUAUAUAAAGAAACUUUAUUUUGGAAAUCAAUGGCAUGUAUAAGCUAAUAAAGUAAAUGUUAACGUGAAAUGAAUAUAAAGUUAGCCAUUAGUAUGGUUAACAAACCUGGUUUUGGGUAUGUGAUGAUGUUAUCUUAUAAAUAUGCAUGAAUUUAUCUUGAAAAUAUGUUGAAUUGGUUUGGUUGAAA